rnacentral:rRNA from 1 species
AUGCUAGAUGACAUUGUUGAGCAAGCAAAAGAUGAUAAUGAAGAUGAUGCUAUUGUCUUUCUUGAUGAUGAUAGUAAAGGCAAAAGGAGGAGCAAGAAACGAAAAAGAGAUAAAAUUGUGCAAACUGGUUGCAAAGCUAAGAUGAUGGUGAAGGUAAUAGAUGGCAGAUGGGAAGUGAUCUACUUUGUUAGUGAGCACAACCAUCCGUUGGUUGACAAGCCAUGUUUGACUAAGUAUUUGCGAUCACACCAAGGGAUCCCGCCAGAAGAAAGGGCCUUCCUUACUCAUCUUCAUAACUGCAAUUUAACUACAAGUCGUAUGAUGCACAUCAUGUCAGAUUUCUAUGGGACAGAACUCAUUGUACCUUAUGGCAGUAAACACAUUACAAACCUCAAGACGCUCUUGAACAAGGAUGAUAGAAAAGAAGGGGAUAUGAUAGAGACAGUUGCUUACUUUAAAGAACAGCAG